UACGUAGGGCGCAAGCGUUGUCCGGAAUUAUUGGGCGUAAAGAGCUCGUAGGCGGCUUGUCACGUCGGUUGUGAAAGCCCGGGGCUUAACCCCGGGUCUGCAGUCGAUACGGGCAGGCUAGAGUUCGGUAGGGGAGAUCGGAAUUCCUGGUGUAGCGGUGAAAUGCGUAGAGAUCAGGAGGAACACCUGUGGUGUAGACAGCUUACUGGACGGUGACUGACGCUGAGGCACGAAAGCGUGGGUAGCAAACAGG
rnacentral:rRNA from 1 species